rnacentral:rRNA from 1 species
UGGGAGGUAAAUUUCUCCUAAGGCUAAAUAUCGGCGAGAGACCGAUAGCGAACAAGUACCGUGAGGGAAAGAUGAAAAGAACUUUGAAAAGAGAGUAAAACAGUACGUGAAAUUGUUGAAAGGGAAACGAUUGAAGUCAGUCGUACCGACGAGAAAUCAGCUUAUCGUGUGCGAACUUGUGAGCGUGCGUGAGUUUCGGCCUCGCUGUUUGCAUGUUUGUGCGUUUUGGGUGUACUUUUUCGUAUGGUAGGCCAACGUCAGUUUCGAAUACCAUAAAAUGACCGGCGGAAUGUAGCUUCGAUUUCGGUUGAAGUGUUAUAGCCUCUGGUAGAUGUGGUAAUUGGGACUGAGGAUUGCAACGAAUAUCCUUUGGGCUAUCCGUCUGACCUCUGAAAGUUGCUCAGGUGCCGAAAGCUUGCUUACGGUCAUCUAAGUUGACGUUCAAUAGGCUAGAACGUGACUACAUUCGUUAAGGACGUUGGCGUAAUGGCUUUAAACGACCCGUCUUGAAACACGGACCAAGGAGUCUAACAUAUAUGCGAGUGUUCGGGUGUUUAAACCCUUACGCGUAAUGAAAGUAAUUUUGGUGGGAUCACUUUUGUGUGCACCAUCGACC